rnacentral:pre_miRNA from 1 species
UAAAACUCGACUGAUUUAAUUCCAUAUUGCUGUAAAUGAGAUAUUUUACAGCAAUAUGGAAUUAAAUCAGUCGACAUAUUAAGAAUC